UGAGGAAUAUUGGUCAAUGGGCGAAAGCCUGAACUAGCAACGCCGCGUGUGCGAAGAAGGCCUUCGGGUUGUAAAGCACUUUUUGAGAGGAUGAGGAAGGACGGUACUCUCAGAAUAAGUCUCGGCUAACUACGUGCCAGCAGCCGCGGUAACACGUAGGAGGCGAACGUUAUCCGGAUUUACUGGGCGUAAAGCGCGUGUAGGUGGUUUGGUAAGUAGGGCGUGAAAGCUCCUGGCUCAACUGGGAGAGGCCGUUCUAAACUGCCGAACUAGAGGAUGGUAGAGGGAGGUGGAAUUCCGGGUGUAGCGGUGGAAUGCGCAGAUAUCCGGAGGAACACCAGUGGCGAAAGCGGCCUCCUGGACCAUUCCUGACACUCAGACGCGAAAGCUAGGGUAGCAAACGG
rnacentral:rRNA from 1 species